UGAAAGGAAUGACCAUGUUGGUAGUGGUCCUGCCUCUUUGAAUACCGAAUUUCCACAAGCAUAUUCUUUUUUUUUUUUUAAUAAAAUGAUGGUGAUAACCACAUUUAUAUCCCAUACUAUUAUUAUAAAUCUAAUAUGUAGUUUAUUUAUUUUGUUUUAUUCUAAGAGGCCAAAAAUAGCUUUAAAUGUUUUUUUUUUUUGAGAAACUCAAUUUAAAUUCUUUUUAAAUAAUCAAGUUUUAACGAAUUUUUAAUUACAAACAAGGGCGAAGCCAAAAUGAAUGUUCAGUGAGUUCAAAAAGAGCCAUAAUUUAUAUUUAGCGGGGUCAAAAGUGCUAAAAUUUAUGUUCAAUGGGGGAAAAAUUAUAUUUAUGAUAAAUAUUAUUAGAAAAAAUAAUAUAUUUUUUUUCAGUGGAGUCAAUUAACCUCACUUGUCCUCAUGUGGCUCCGCCCAGACUACAACAAACACCCAUGACACUAUCUAUGUACAGUCUCUACCUUAGUAUUAUUAUGGUCUUUCGCCCAAGAAAGGUGAACAAAAUAGUCAUAUUCAUACUUGAUAUAAAAGCAUAGGAGGUUGAAUGAUAGAAUUAAAUGUGAAUAGCGUAAAUUGAAACUUUGAUGAAAGUGCAAGGGUAAAAAGUGUUAGUAACCAUUCCUAAGUGAACUCACUCACAACUACUGGGUGUUACAAAGUUGUACUACAAGUGAGCUUGUAGUACAAAGUACAAACUGUAAUGGUUCAUUAACUUAUAAAACUUAACACAAUUUAUAUAUAAGAGUGGGGGAGUGAGAGAGAGGAUGAUCAGGGCGGUUUUCGACAUUUGGGUUGUCUUAAUCCAAUUUCAAUAUAGUUACUUUCGUACUAUUAAAUUUCUUUCUUGAAUUUAAAUUUUUUUUGGAGGGCCUGAUGUUUGUUCUGCUUUGGGGUUGUCCAAAUCCAAUGCUUUGCUGGGCUUACCCCAAUACCGGCACGAGGAUGACAAGAAUUAGCAUCGGAAAAAAUCCAACGUAGAAUUUUUCUUCAAACUAUUCUAGCAGCAGCAAGAGUCGUAAAUGGAAAGGUCGUUUGCCAAGGACGUACAAGGUAAUUUACAGAACAAAUCCUUCCCAAGUAAGGCGGUUGUUUUUAUUUACUCUAUUUUUCUUCCCAAGUAAGAUAAGUUACAGAACAAAUCCUUCCCAAGUAAUCAAAUUUAACCAUUAGAUUACAAUUUAUGUGGACCACACACCUUUGAAAAGAUAAAAAUAAUAUUUUUGGAGAAAAAAAUAGUCUCAGGUCAGUCAUUAGAUUAAUUCAAAUGGAUUUUAACCAUAAAUAAUGGGAGAUAAUUUAAAAUAUUUAAAAACAGUUGUGUCUUAUGUACAAGUCUUAAUUCGUUUAUCAAUCCUUUGAAUACUUGAAUAUUUAUAUAUUUUUAUAUAUUUUAAAUGACAAAUACAAAUACGAUAGAUUCAAACACAGAUGCUGACGUGUCAAACACAUCUCAUUCUGUAGAAAACAAAUUAAACUAGCUAAGUUAAUAUGUGUACAUGUCCUAUUCAUUUUUCAAUUUUGUGAAUACUUGGAUAUUUAUUAUUUUUUAUAUAGUUUAAAUGACAGAUAUAAAUAUGGCAGAUCGACAGAUACUAUGUGUCACACAUCUCAGUCUACAAGAAAACAAAUUAAAUCAGCUAAGAUGAUAUGUGUUUGACACAUCAACAUCUUUAAAUUAAACCAAUUGAAUUAAUACGUGCGUGAAUCUGUAAUUUAUAUCUAUGCACCUAAGGGUAUGUUUGGCUGGUGGAUUAGGAGGGGAUAACUUUUUUCCUCGGAUAAUUUUUUCCCCCGCGUUUGGCUGGCGGAUAUGGGCGGAUAUGGAGGCGGAUAUAUAAAUUUUUCCCCCGGAUAAUUUUUCCCCUAGCAGGUGGAUAGAGGCGAAAAUGUUUAGGUGACCUAGAACCCUAACAAAAGUUAUCCGGGAAUAAGGGGGGUGGGGAUAGAAAAAAUAUAUAUAAAGAGAAACAAGGUUAAUUUUUUUUUAUAUAUAUAGAAAAAAAUAAACAUAUUAGAUUUUUAAUAUCAAGAUAUUUUACAUUUGUUUCUCUCAAUAUCUGUACUCCUUGUAUAUCACACCUUAUCCACUCAUUCUAAAAAGUAUCAAAAAUAAAGUUAAAAGUUAUCUCCCUUCAAAACUUAUUCCCCUUCUAAAAAUUAUUCUCUCUAAAAGUUAUUCUCCUCCGAUCCUCUAGCCAAACGGACCCCUAACCUCAAUCCAUCCCCCCUAGAAGGGUAACCUGGCUAUGAAAUUUCCAAAUUUAUAUAGCCAUUGGUCCAAAUGCAUUUAUGAAGGGCCCACAACAUUAAAUUCUAUGUUUUGAGGUUAACCUCAACUUGGCUAAAGCCGCUUCCCACGUGAUCCCGUGGAUGACCAAAUUGAAUGGUUGACAAUUCAUAGGAGGAUAGUUUUCGCAAACUUUGGUUUUUUCGAAUUGCACUUUUUUAUAUUUUUAUUAAAUAAAAUUACUUAAAUAUAUUUUUAUAUUAUUAAAAAUAAAAUAAUACAAAAUAUAAAAGUAUUUGGAUAAUUUUAUCUACUAAAAAAGAAAGUGCAAAUUAAAGAAACAGAAAUAAAAAAAUCAAGGACGGCCAUGUACCUAGAGUGAGUACAUUAAUAGAUAUCAGGUUCUAAGUUGCGCUAGCUAAAUUAAUUCAAUUUUAAAUUUAUUUAUAAUUUUUUUUACCUGAUUUUAUUAUUUUUAAUGAUUAAAAUUUCAUUGUUUUUUAUCAAAAUUAUUUAUCUUUGUCUUUUAGAUAAUUUGUUGAGUAUAACUUUAAUUUUUUAUAUUUUAAAAUUAUUUUUGUUAAGAGAAAUUAAAAAAUUAAAAAAUUUAAUUUAACGAUAAAAAAAUGACUAAAACAAAAGCUAACAAAACAAAAUAACUAUGCAAGACAAAGGCCGGCGGCCGGCCCCCUAUUGAAAAAUAGGCAUGCAUAAAGACAAGGGCAGCGCUAGCUAGACACGGUGCAUACUUGGCAGAGAUUAUUGUACGAUUUUUUUUGUUUUAAAAAUUGUAUCAGAGUAUUUGAUAUAAUUUUUAUUUUUAUUUUUAUUUGUGAAUUAAGAAUAAUUUAUAAAAAUUAAAAAAUAACUGAUUUUUUGAAAGCUUUAUUAUGAAAUUUUUCAAGUUAUGUUCAAUUGUAUUAAACACCCUCAUAAAAUAUGAAGUCUAUUCAUUUAAGGUGUGUUUGGAUAAAAAAUUUAUUAAAAAGAAAAAAGAAAAAGCUCCGGACUAAAUUAAAUUUUUGAGCGAUUGGAUUUACAAUGUUUCUUCUUUAAUUUUUUUUUUCCUUCAUUAAAUUGUUAAUAUUGAUAAAAAGAAUUUUUUUUAAAUUUAGGAUAUUACUAAUUUGACUGCUGUGUAAUUCACACUUCGUCUUGGUAAUUAGUUACUCCCACCCCUGACAACCCCACCCCUUAACGUGACUAAUAAAUUUUUUUAAUUUUUUACUUUUACCAUAAUUCCCCUACCAACUUCCACUUUACCAUUAACCAUUUAAUUCUUUUUUUUUUAAUACCACUGUUAUUUAUUAAAAAGAUAUUCAAAAAUUUUUAAUUUCUUUUAAUUUUAGCUUCCGAAAUUUUAUAAUUUCUUUUACUCCCACCUUAUAUUUUUAUAAAAAUAAAAAAUAUAGAGCAAGAUCUGUAAUAAUUUUUUAAAUUUUCUCUCAAUUUAUAAAAUUUAAUGCAAAACUAAUUAAUAUAUAUUUUUUUAAAACACUAAAGCGAAACAUUUAGAAUUUAUUCAACUAAAUAAAUUUCACUCAACUACAUAAAUUUUUUUUAAAACACUAAAGCGAAAAAAAAAAUAUCUGGAUUUUUAGCUUUAAUUUUUUUAUCUUAAAAAAUUUAUGUUAAUUAGUUUUGUAUUAAAUUUAUAAAUUGAGAGAAAUUUUUAAAAAAAAAUUACAGAUUUUGAUCCAUAUUUUUUUCUUUUAUAAAAAACUAGAUGUGGGAGUAAAAGAAAUUAUAAAAUUUUAUUAUAAAAAUUUUUUUAUAUAAAAAUUUAGAAGGUGAAAGUAAAAAAAAAUUAAAAAUUUUUGAUUAAAUUUUUUUUAAUAAAUAACAAGAAGGUAGUAUUAAAAGGAAAAAAAAUUAAUAGGUGAGAGAGAGAUGAGAGAGAUAAGAAGAAGGGUAAAAUUGAAAAAAAAAAGAAUUUUAUGGCACAUCAUCCCCCCCUGUCAGGGGGAUUGGGGAAAACAGUUCUCUUCAUCUUGGCACCACCAGGCCUGAAUUGGGACCAAAGUUACCAAAACACCCUCAUGAUCAUCCUUAGCCCUCAAAGUCCUAGAACAAUGAAAAGAUAUAUUUCAUACAUACAAUAAUACACUUGUGAUAGCAAUAUCCAUGACUCAUCGCAAGCACAUAUCUAGACAAAAAUUCAAGAAGAAAAAUGUUACUUUACUUAAAAUAUAUAUCAUAAUAUGGUACUAAAAGAUUCACAAUUAAUCAUGUUAUUCGGUAUUCAUCGGUUUUCAAGUCCUCUAACAGGUUAGUUAUCCCCAACCUGAGGCAGGUCUUGAUCUUUGUGGGGCCUUCCUUGUGCCUAUGUGGCGCGUGGACGAAGCUUCCCAUGAACCUAGAGUCCUCGGUCGGAUCGUCCUUGUCGUUGAUGAGCACAUCGAAUUGAAAUUCUACCUUGGAACCUUUUUGAAAAGAUGAGUUCCGACAAGGUUGAAUAUUGAAUUCCAACUAAUCACUAAUAAUUCUAUGUACUAACAAAAAAAGAUGAUAAUAAUAAUAAUAAUAAUAAUAUAAUUAUUUUAAAAAAUUCCCCAUAAAAAGAAAACGAACUUAUGAAAUUUUAGGUCCAAUUUUACCUCAGUGGUGGUUGAUGUUUUUUCUGCUGCCAUGGCCAAUUGCCUCCUCCUUCCUGGGCACUUUCAAACUGAUGGAGGAUCUGAACUGGAUUGCUGGACAGCACCAUUAAAGUCAAUGCAACAUCAAGGGAAAAAGAUUAGGUCAAAUUAAUAAAAUACUUAAUGGUGGGAACUGGCUCAAACUAUUACUUUAUAUAUUACUUUGGAGAAAACUCAUUUCAGUGGCAUAUUGAGAAAAAUAUAUCAAAUUAGAUGUAUAAUGCAAAAUUAUCUCCAAUAAAUGGAGACGCAGACAUCUAAAAUAAUAUUAUAAAUAUGAGAUUAUUCGUUAAAUGGCGCCAAUGAAGUGAGUGGAAUGAUUGUCUGAUGCAAAUAAAAAAGUGAAUAGUUGAAUAUUUUUUUAGGUAAAACACUUGCAUCUCACACUUAUUUUAUUUGUACGAGAUAGAUAAUUUAUUUACACUCAGUCUUAUAUUUUUUUAGAAAUUCGUUUAGUUGACGUUUCUUAAAACUUAUUUUUUUGAUAGUUUUUUUAAAUAAUUAUUUUUGAGAAAACAUUAGAUAUACGUUUUUAAAUUCUUGAAAACUAUUUUUAUUAGAAACUAAAUAACAUAUGAAAAAGGUAAAUGUUUAGAGCAUUCAUAUUAGUUUUACUAUUUAUUCAUUCUAUUUUUAAGAAUUUUUUUCAACCAUCAUAUUUGUUAAAUGGUCAUAUUAUUCCAACGGCGAUAUUUUUUAAAUGAUAUAUUUUUAAAAUGGUUAUAUUUUUAAGAAUGUCGUAUUAUUCAAACGGUUGUAUUUUUUAAAAUAUAUUUUAAAAUGAACAUUUUUUUGACUCAUAUAUUUUUAAUUAAAUGGUAUACAGAUAAAAAAACUAAUUUUAAAAAAUAAAAUAAUUUAAAAUAAAUAUUUUCAAUAAUUAAAUUAUUAAAUAUUAACUUUUAUCCAACUUGAUACCUAGCAGCCUAUCCUCUUACAGCGUCGGCAAAGACUAUGAAUUCUUGGGGACCGCAAAACUUACCCUGAUCCGACUAUAGCGCAUAUGUUCAAUAAUCAUGUUUAAUAAAUACAAAGUCUACUAGUGUAAGAAAUUAAAAUUAUAUCAUUUUUCAUAGUCAAGACAAAAGUAUUAAAAUUUUGCGCUCCAGUCUUACUGAUAGUGUAUCUAGUUUCAUCUAAGAUUUUGAACAAUAUAAGUCUAAUCUUUCGUGUGUAAGCAGUAUUCUUCUACACGUCAAAUUAUCUAUUUUUUAGAAUAAGAGACAUCCAUGCUUAAGUAUUAAAUAAAUAAUACAAAUACAAACAUUACUUACACAAAUUAUUAUUAUAAUGGAAUAAAUAAUUUAUUAAUAACACUAAAUUCAUUAAUAAUUGAAUAGUUUCUAUGAGUGAGUUGUCAAAUAAAACCUUAUCUAGUCCAGAUUGGGAUGGGCCCACUCCCUUAUCGUCAACCAUCGGAUGAGAAAAUCUAACACGUGAAAGAAAUAUACCAUACUGGUAGUGGUCCUGCCUAGGGAUGGCAACGGGCCGGUUGGGCCUCCCCCACCCCCACCCCGACCCCGUUUAUCAAAACUCACUCCCGCCCUCGCCCCACCCCGCCCCAUUUAGUAAUUUUAUUAAUUAUAUAUAUAUUUUUUUAUAUAAUUAUGGUAUAAUAUAUAUAUAAUAAGGAUAUUAUGAUAAUUUUUUAAAAAUCUGAUUAAUUUUUAUUUUUUUAUAUAAAUCGGGGAAACUCGGGCGGGUUUCGGGGUUGGAGGAGGCUUUUACCCCGCCCCGCCCGUGUAAUCGGGUGUUAAUUUUUUCCCCAAACAGCCCUAAAACGGGACCGGGGCCUGACGGGACGGGUUCUUAGGGUCAAAUUGCCCAUCCCUAGUCCUGCUCUUUGGUACCCGAAUUUCCACAAAGCAUAUUCUUUUUUUUUUUAAAUAAAAUGAUGUGAUGGCCACAUUAUUUAUGUGCUUAUGCUAAGAUGCCAAAAUUAGCUUUAAAUUUUUUUUUGAGAAACUCAAUUUAGAUUCUUUUUAACUUUUAAUUUAAAUAGUCAAGUAUUAACGAAUAUUUAGCUACAACAAACACCCAUGACUAGAUUUAUAGUCUCUACCUUAGUAUUAUUAUGGUUUUUCGCUCACGAGAGCCAAAAUGAAUAUUUAGUGGGAUCAAAAAAAUUAAAAUUUAUAUUUUGCGAGAUUAAAAGAGUUAGAAUUUAUGUUCAGUGGGGUUAAAAUUAUAAAAUAUAUAAAUUUUAUAAUAAAUUAUUAAUUUUUGUAAGGUCAAAAUUAUAUUUAUGAUAAAUUAUAUUAAAAAAAAUGAUAUAUUUUUUUUCAAUGGGGUCAAUUAACCCCACUUGCUCCUACAUGACUCCGACACUACUUUCGCCCAAGGUGAACAAAAUGAUUAUAUUCAUAUUUGACUUAAAGUAUAAAAUGUUAAUUGACAAAAAUUAAAAGUGAAAAGCAUAAAUUGAAACUUUGAUGAAAGUGAAAGGGUAAAAAGUGUAAGUAACCAUUCUUAAGUGAACUCCCAACUACUGGGUAUUACAAAGUUGUACUACAAAUGAGCUUGUAGUACAAAGUACAAACAGAGAUGGUUCAUUAAAUUAUAAAACCUAACACAAUCCCUAUAUGGCAUUGGAAAAAAACU
rnacentral:lncRNA from 1 species